rnacentral:tRNA from 1 species
AACUAUAUAGUAUAUUAGUACAUUUGAUUUCCAAUUAAAAAGAAGAAAAAUUUAUUUUUUUAUUUU